rnacentral:lncRNA from 1 species
UUUUAUGUUGCCGGUUGUUGUCCUUACACCAUCUUGAGGACAAAGGAAUGUUAUGAGGACAGAAGGGUUGAUGUGAGGAGAAAGAGGAGUUGUGAUGAAAAGAAUCAUAUUCUAGAGAAGUAGGGAAGUAUUGGUUGUGAUCCGGAAGAUGGUGCUAUAUCUAGUGGGAGUAAUAAUUACAAGAGAGAUGCUGGAAUUGGUUGGGGCUUUUGGGAGAGAUUAGGCUCUCUCUAUUUGCCUAAGUCUAUAUUAUCUUUUUUUUUUUUAUAUUUGAUACUGCCUAAGUCUAUAUUAUCUUCUUUCUCUAUCUGCU